rnacentral:rRNA from 1 species
AUUGAACGCUGGCGGAAUGCUUUACACAUGCAAGUCGAACGGCAGCACGGACUUCGGUCUGGUGGCGAGUGGCGAACGGGUGAGUAAUGUAUCGGAACGUGCCCAGUCGUGGGGGAUAACGUAGUGAAAAUUACGCUAAUACCGCAUACGAUCUAUGGAUGAAAGCGGGGGAUCGCAAGACCUCGCGCGAUUGGAGCGGCCGAUAUCAGAUUAGGUAGUUGGUGGGGUAAAGGCCCACCAAGCCAACGAUCUGUAGCUGGUCUGAGAGGACGACCAGCCACACUGGAACUGAGACACGGUCCAGACUCCUACGGGAGGCAGCAGUGGGGAAUUUUGGACAAUGGGCGAAAGCCUGAUCCAGCCAUUCCGCGUGCAGGAUGAAGGCCCUCGGGUUGUAAACUGCUUUUGUACAGAACGAAAAGGUUUCUACUAAUACUAGGAGCUCAUGACGGUACUGUAAGAAUAAGCACCGGCUAACUACGUGCCAGCAGCCGCAGUAACAC